rnacentral:lncRNA from 1 species
GGACCACUUCCUGGGCCACUUCCUGGAAGGAGGAGGAGGCUUCCUGGACCACUUCCUGGAUGCUUCCUGGAACACUUCCUGGAUGGAGGAGGAUGCUUUUUGGAUCACUUCCUGGAAGGAGGAGGAUGCUUCCUGGACCACUUCCUGGAAGGAGGAGGAGGCUUCCUGGACCACUUCCUGGAAGGAGGAGGAGGCUUCCUGGACCACUUCCUGGAAGGAGGAGGAUGCUUCCUGGACCACUUCCUGGAUGCUUCCUGGACCACUUCCUAGAAGGAGGAGGAUGCUUCCUGGACCACUUCCUGGAAGGAGGAGGAUGCUUUUUGGACCACUUCCUGGAAGGAGGAGGAUGCUUCCUGGCCCACUUCCAGGAAGGAGGAUGCUGGACUUCCAGGAAGGAGGAGGAUGCUUUUUGGACCACUUCCUGGAAGGAGGAGGAGGCUUCCUGGACCACUUCCUGGAAGGAGGAGGAGGCUUCCUGGACCACUUCCUGGAAGGAGGAGGAGGCUUCCUGGACCACUUCCUGGAAGGAGGAGGAUGCUUCCUGGACCACUUCCUGGAAGGAGGAGGAGGCUUCCUGGAACACUUCCUGGAAGGAGGAGGAGGCUUCCUGGAACACUUCCAGGAAGGAGGAGGAUGCUUCCUGGACUACUUCCGGGAAGGAGGAGGAGGCUUCCUGGACCACUUCCAGGAAGGAGGAUGCUGGACUUCCAGGAAGGAGGAGGAUGUUUUUGGACCACUUCCUGGAUGGAAGAGGAUGCUUCCUGGACCACUUCCUGGAAGGAGGAGGAGGCUUCCUGGACCACUUCCUGGAAGGAGGAGGAUGCUUUUUGGACUACUUCCUGGAUGCUUCCUGGACCACUUCCAGGAAGGAGGAUGCUGGACUUCCUGGAAGGAGGAGGAUGUUUUUUGGACCACUUCCAGGAAGGAGGAUGCUGGACUUCCUGGAAGGAGGAGGAUGCUUCCUGGACCACUUCCUGGAUGGAAGAGGAUGCUUCCUGGAACACUUCCUGGAAGGAGGAGGAUGCUUCCUGGAACACUUCCUGGAAGGAAGAGGAGGCUUCCUGGGCCACUUCCUGGACUACUUCCUGGAUGCUUCCUGGAAGUAGGAGGAGGCUUCCUGGAACACUUCCUGGAAGGAGGAGGAGGCUUCCUGGAACACUUCCGGGAAGGAGGAUGCCUGGGGGACCCCGGGUUUCGGGUCCCCGUUCUCUCUCUGUCGGAAGUGUCUCUCUCUCUCUCUUCCUCUCUCUCUCUCUCAGUAAGUGAUAAUAAAAGUCCUGAGAUUAGAGCGAGUCAGAGCCUCCUUGGGGGGGAGGAGAGAGUCAAAGCCAACAAAGUCCAACAGCCAGCGCCGCCUCUCUCUCUCUCUCCCUCUCUCUCUCCCCCUCUCUCUCUCCCUCUUUCUCUCUCUCCCUCUCUCUCUCUCUCCCUC